rnacentral:rRNA from 1 species
GACGUAGGGCGCGAGCGUUGUCCGGAUUUAUUGGGCGUAAAGGGCUCGUAGGCGGCCAACUAAGUCACACGUGAAAUCCCCAGGCUUAACCUGGGAACUGCGUGUGAUACUGGAUGGCUUGAAUCCGGGAGAGGGAUGCGGAAUUCCAGGUGUAGCGGUGAAAUGCGUAGAUAUCUGGAGGAACACCGGUGGCGAAGGCGGCAUCCUGGACCGGUAUUGACGCUGAUGAGCGAAAGCCAGGGGAGCAAACGGG